ACGGGUGAGUAACGCGUGGGAACGUGCCCUCCGGUUCGGAAUAACUCAGGGAAACUUGAGCUAAUACCGGAUACGCCCUUUUGGGGAAAGGCUUGCUGCCGGAGGAUCGGCCCGCGUCUGAUUAGCUAGUUGGUGAGGUAACGGCUCACCAAGGCGACGAUCAGUAGCUGGUCUGAGAGGAUGAUCAGCCACACUGGGACUGAGACACGGCCCAGACUCCUACGGGAGGCAGCAGUGGGGAAUAUUGGACAAUGGGCGCAAGCCUGAUCCAGCCAUGCCGCGUGAGUGAUGAAGGCCUUAGGGUUGUAAAGCUCUUUUAUCCGGGACGAUAUUGACGGUACCGGAGGAAUAAGCCCCGGCUAACUUCGUGCCAGCAGCCGCGGUAAUACGAAGGGGGCUAGCGUUGCUCGGAAUCACUGGGCGUAAAGGGCGCGUAGGCGGCGUUUUAAGUCGGGGGUGAAAGCCUGUGGCUCAACCACAGAAUGGCCUUCGAUACUGGGACGCUUGAGUAUGGUAGAGGUUGAUGGAACUGCGAGUGUAGAGGUGAAAUUCGUAGA
rnacentral:rRNA from 1 species